rnacentral:rRNA from 1 species
GCCAAACAGCUAGCUUAAUCACCAAUUUUAACCAAACAAUAUCUUUAAAAAGACAUGACCCACCCCUGAAAAUUAAACCAUUUUUUUACCUGAGUAUGGGAGACAGAAAAG